rnacentral:rRNA from 1 species
AAGGAUCAUUAUCGUAACAAAA